rnacentral:rRNA from 1 species
AAUGGAGAGUUUGAUCCUGGCUCAGGACGAACGCUGGCGGCGUGCUUAACACAUGCAAGUCAAGGAGAACGUUUUCUUCGGAAAACUAUUAAACUGGCGAACGGGUGAGUAACACGUAGGCAACCUGCCUUGGAGAUGGGGAUAACCUCGGGAAACCGGGACUAAUACCGAAUAAUGCAGCGGCUUCUUUGGAAGAUGUUGUUAAAGCGGGCUUCGGCUCGCACUUCAAGAUGGGCCUGCGUCCGAUUAGCUUGUUGGUAAGGUAACGGCUUACCAAGGCGAUGAUCGGUAGCUGGUCUGAGAGGAUGAUCAGCCACACUGGGAUUGAGAUACGGCCCAGACUCCUACGGGAGGCAGCAGUAGGGAAUUUUGCGCAACGGACGAAAGUCUGACGCAGCAACGCCGCGUGAUCGAUGAAGCUUCUAGGAGUGUAAAGAUCUGUCGUGAGGGAAGAAAAAUCUGGAUGUAAAUAAUGUUCAGACUUGACGGUACCUUACAAGAAAGCACCGGCUAACUUCGUGCCAGCAGCCGCGGUAAUACGAGGGGUGCUAGCGUUGUCCGGAAUAACUGGGCGUAAAGGGUCCGUAGGCGUUUUGCCAAGUUGAUCGUUAAAGCCACCGGCUCAACCGGUGAUCUGCGAUCAAAACUGGCAGAAUAGAAUAUGUGAGGGGAAUGUGGAAUUCCUGGGGUAGCGGUGACAUGCGU